rnacentral:lncRNA from 1 species
AUUGCAGUAUUUCUUGUUGUUGUGUGCUAUUAAAAAUGUGAAUUACUGUUUAUAUAUAUUGUAAAUACACAAUGUCAUUCAGCAGAUCGCAUUAGAAUAAAUUAAUAACUUGGAUUAUAAAGAUCUUUAAAUUGCAAUAUUUUAUGUUUUUCAGCUGUGCUCAAUGAAUGAAUACAAGCCACCGAUCUCCAAAGCAAAGAUGACCCAGAUUACAAAAUUGGCAAUUAAAACUAUAAAGCAGCUCCCCCAAAGCACUGAAAGUGAAGCAGGAGGAUGGGGCGAGAGAGAGUUUCAAAGAGAUAAGGGAACCCCUAACCAGCUUAGGUAGGAGAUGGGCUGUUUCAAAAGGAGGAUGGUAGAAGCCACUUCUACAAGCAUGUCGUCCAAAGUGUGGAGAAAUUCAUUCAGAAGGUCAGUUGUUAUUCUCUUGCAAAUGCAAAAUAAACUAUCAGAUAUUUGAAAGUUUGGAAAUG